rnacentral:rRNA from 1 species
CGCCAGACUCCUACGGGAGGCAGCAGUGGGGAAUAUUGCACAAUGGGGGAAACCCUGAUGCAGCGACGCCGCGUGAGCGAAGAAGUACCUCGGUAUGUAAAGCUCUAUCAGCAGGGAAGAAGAUGACGGUACCUGACCAAGAAGCUCCGGCUAAAUACGUGCCAGCAGCCGCGGUAAUACGUAUGGUGCAAGCGUUAUCCGGAAUGACUGGGUGUAAAGGGAGCGUAGACGGUUGUACAAGUCUGAUGUGAAAGCCCACGGCUCAACUGUGGGAGUGCAUUGGAAACUGUAGAACUAGAGUAUCGGAGAGGCAAGUGGAAUUCCUAGUGUAGCGGUGAAAUGCGUAGAUAUUAGGAGGAACACCAGUGGCGAAGGCGGCCUGCUGGGCUUUAACUGACGCUGAGGCUCGAAAGCGUGGGGAGCAAACAGGAUUAGAUACCCCAGUA